UACAGAGGGUGCAAGCGUUGUUCGGAAUCAUUGGGCGUAAAGGGUGCGUAGGCGGCGCGGUAAGUCGGGUGUGAAAUCUCGGAGCUUAACUCCGAAACUGCAUUCGAUACUGCCGUGCUUGAGGACUGGAGAGGAGACUGGAAUUUACGGUGUAGCGGUGAAAUGCGUAGAUAUCGUAAGGAAGACCAGUGGCGAAGGCGGGUCUCUGGACAGUUCCUGACGCUGAGGCACGAAGGUCAGGGGAGCAAACGGG
rnacentral:rRNA from 1 species